GAUAACAGCGUAAUUUUUUUGGAGAGUUCAUAUCGAUAAAAAAGAUUGCGACCUCGAUGUUGGAUUAAGAUAUAAUUUUAGGUGCAGAAGCUUAAAUUUUGAGUCUGUUCGACUUUUAAAUUCUUACAUGAUCUGAGUUCAAACCGGCGUAAGCCAGGUU
rnacentral:ncRNA from 1 species